CCAUACCAUAUGGGUGACAAAGAACACGACAGUGCCGAGGGAAGCCACGUCUCGGGGCAGAGUAACGGUCGAGAUCCUCAGGCGCUGGCCAAAGCUGUGCAGAUUCACCACGACACCCUGAGGACCAUGUACUUUGCCUAAGCCAGCUCACAUCCAUCCCACGUUCUUCUAGUCAUGCACAGGAACCCAGACAACCGCAUACACACGCCUCACACCUCCAAACGCAAGUGCAUCCUGAAGGGUGGAUCUCUGUGGCGAUGGAAGCGCGGCCCGCCCCGACACUGUGCAGCAGGAUAAGGAAGGCCUGCUUUAAUUCCACACGUGGACCUCGGCACUAUUAUGCAAUAUUAAACCAGCCAACUGAGGCCGUUCUGUCAUAUCCCCUCCAAAACCCAAAAGGGAAGCCCGUCUAUGCCCCCGCUCCUCUUCCUGUCUGUAGACGUAACGUUUAAUUACUUUCCCUGCCUGUCACGCCUUGUACCUCAACGUUUUCUAACAGCACUUUUUCCUCUUAUUGUCCUUCCCCCAAAAUGAGAUUCGAAUGGAAGCGGAUGGAAAGACUGAGUCUGGAAGAAAGGAAGUUUUGGGGAAUGCCUACGGAUAGAUGUACUUUCCUCCCGUUCUCAAUUAUUUUUGUAGCCAAUGGUGACUUAACUACGUGUUAAAGUGUCAGUCGUGAAGAACCAAUUGUGCGUUAGCAUUUUAAAACAGAAAAACAAGCUUUUAUUGUUAGAGAAGUGCCAUUGCAGAGCGCAGAGUCCUUUAUGACGUCCGGGUGGCAGAAAGCUGACGGUUGAAUUUUUUUAAGCAAAUCUACGCUCUAGCUUUCAUGUACUACAAUGCAAAGUGAUCAUGUUUUGAUGCUCUUUCUUGUUUUUAACACCCAAGUUCCCUCCGAUAUUUAUUUGUCUCGAUCAAACGCAGCACUUAGCAGAUUGUCUCGUUCGCUCCCCUCCUGCACUGUGUCUCGGUUUAAAAUGCAUAGUCUGUGUGAUGUGACAGAUCAUAGUUUAGUGCAAUAAUCCAUUAGCGGGAUGAGAAGACCUCCUGUGCAAAGACUCGGUAUGCGGCUGGGUGUGAAAGGCAUCUGAAAGUGGUUGGAUUUUAAGAUGGAGGUGUGCAUGUUUGCCACUUUUAUAGUUUAUUUUUGGUGAAAGUACAGCAGCGUUUCCUGACGAUUGACCGUAGUGUGUAAACAAGUGCCUGCUAGAAAUGCACGACGUUGGAAGGUCAGAAACAGAACAAAUGCACCUCAUUUAGUCCAACCAAGGGCACAGUUGCGACCACAUUCGACUGUACGGCCUUAAUAAAAUCUCGCGGUUUCAGCGUCUCGAUUUUCACUGCCCUGCCUGUUUCAGAGGAUUUUGCUGCUGUUGUACUUGUUCAAGUCCGACUGCUGGGUUCAUGCUUCAGUUCGCCUAGGCACGAGGGACCGUUUGGCAGCUCUAGGCCACGUGUUCAAGGAGAAGCUCUGGCAGCACCUAAUUCGUGCCACUAGGGGUCAGUAUAGUUUUUUACCUGGAGCGUGCAGUGAGAGUUGUGUGCCUUACCGUCUCUCCGUGCGCCAUCUGAAGCAUGUCCUGCUGUUUAAAGGUGAUAAUCUGCACUAAAUAAUGCGUAAUGCAUGGUGCUAUUAGGUGCGGCCCGCGGCGGCAUCAGCAACUGGCACAGACUUAAUGCGUAAGAUGGAACAUGGGAUGCAUAAAUGGUGCUGGUUGUGUGUAUUUCUCUCUCUCCGAGGAGGAAUUUCUCAUCAGGACAGACAUUUGGCUGUUUUGUAUGUUUGUUAGAUUUGUAUUUGAUUUUAUUGCAGAGAAAGGUACAGCACAGUGGCCAGUCAGAAUAUGAUUACAGUCAAUUACACGAAGCACUAGAAAGCGGAAGAUUUUAAUGCAUAACUUUUUUUUUUAGUAACAAUUCAGUCUCUUUAAAAUACUGAACUGCAGUUUAUGCAGUCAGAUAAAUUCUAAAGUAUAAAUAAUCGAAUGAAACUAAUGCAGUAGGCUGUUGUGAUGGAUUUUCUGUUUUUUUUUUUUUUUUUUUUUUUGUUAAGUGUGCAUUAGAGGUUGAACCUUUUGCAGAAGGUACACCGUGUUUUAUGCCCAUCAAAAGUGGUUUAAGUGAUGCUGUAAGCAUCAAAACAACUGCUACUGAAAUUGUGCCCGUUUUUUGUUUCACAACCGCUUAUCGGUGCUUCAGAGCCUUGGAAGUAAAACCGUCUGUGUGUGGAUGCCAAACAGCUAUCAGUUUCAGAAGCAAUCUUGAUGAGGUGUCAUGCAAUUUUAUUUUUGUGUAGUUUUAACUUCAUAUAUAUAUAUUACUAACACAUGCCUUGUAUUUUGGCAAGAAAUGUCUCUUUAAAGGGAUAGUUUGGUUCUAGAUGAUUAUGAAUUGUCAUUAUUUACCCACUUUACCCUCUGUUGUUUCAAACUUGCAUGACUUUUUUUUUUUUUUUUUUUUUGGUGUAAGUUUUAAAAAAUGUGUGAGCUGCUGUUUUCCAUGCAACAAAAGUGAAUGGAUAUCAGUGGAUAUUAAAGUUAAGUUACGGCUUGAAAGCAUAAAAAAUAGAUUCAUUUUGGAACUUAAAAACAGUCCAUUUUUGUUGCAUAAGUCAAUGGCAAAACAAGUCUGCACCGACACGAGGGUGAGAAAACCACACAAUUUUCAUUUUUCGCUGAACGAUUCCUUUAAAGCUGCAACUGGUUUUGCCUCCGUAUGAAGAUUGUAAAGAGUGUUUGUCUUGUAUUCGCAAGUGACUGUGGUAGCAGAUGUUGUGGGUUCAGAGCACACUUAUCGAGUUUGUUGCCUGUCGUGGCCUCCGUUAUCUAGAAAGCUAGAAGUGUAAGAGUCAGUCUGUGUAUUUUCUCCUCUCCUCUCUUCUCGUCUUUUAUUUCAGAGCUUUUUGGGAGGGUCUUCUUUUAGGGUCUAAAACGUAACACGAGUUCAAAGUUCAUAGAAAGUGCCUUUCCUCAUGAUGGUGCUGAAUAAUCUGAGACUAAAGUGAGAAAUCAAAGAGCAUAUUAGUCUUACUCUUACCUUGAAGAAGGUGUUGCACACAUGCAAACACACACACGUUUUUAUCUCGAUCGGGAGGCUCAUAACGGUGCCUCUUUGUAUAUUCAGAUAUUAUAAUGACGAUGAUAUAUGCCAAGUAUACGAGCAAACGGUUGAGAUACUGUAUUAGGAGUCCGGACCAAUGCAAUAGGUGAAUGUGCUAUCUUUAGAUAGAGGGCAGAGCGGACACUCAUAAGACACGGCCUGACCCUGGACAGGAAAGCCUAGCACAGCACUUUAAAGACUGCCACCCAAACAAGGAAACAAAGUCACAGUGCUUUGCUCUCCUUUUUCUUUUUCCCCCAUAAGCCCCUUUUUUCACAUACUCCAGCAAAAGACAGUCUCUAGUGCUUGAAGUCUUUGCUGAGGGAAGGUUAAUCAUGUUUCGGAGGUUUACACGGGACCCCGGUGACGUCGUUUUUUGGACUUCACUAUGGCUGCUUAAAAAACUCAUUGUUUGUUGCAGUGGCUGAUCGAUCCCUGUCAAUGUGCAAUGGCCCGUAGAAACCUAGACGCAUACAGUAUGUGUUUUGAGCCCCGUGGCCUGUAUUUUGUCACAUGGGUGCCCGUUGGUCCAGGAGGAUAUACCUCGACGAGAGAUCUCAAAACACUGCACCUCACUGACCUUGGUAUGCUGCAUAUGUUAAAGUGAAAGAAAGUGCAAGUGAGUGAAUCUCACCGAAGAACGUGUUCACAUUUCACGCCAACAUCACAAGACGCAUUAUAUUUUGCAUACAGAAAAAUAAGCCAAUUUUUUAUUAUUCACUUUUUAUAUUAAAAUUUUUUGCAUUGAGACAAUUAAAUGCAUCCCUCUCCCCAAAUUCUCAUUAUUGUCAUGCGAAACAUAUUAUGUAUGAAUAUUAGUUGCAUUGCUUUUCGUUUUUAUAAUACAGUAAAUAUCAUUCUAUCUCCAUUGGGAAUUACAAAAUGGCUCAAAACUGUGAGGAAAAUGUGCUAAUUAAUAAUAAUAAAAUUCUGGUUGUUAAAACAGGCUGCAUUUUUCUCUUGCAAAAUAUAAUUUCUAGUUGUACUACACUUCAACAAAACGACAGAAAUCAGCAAUUAUAUUUUGCAUAAAGAAAAUAAAACCUACUUUUUGGAGACAAUUAAACGCAUUGCCCCUCUACAAAUUCUCAUUAUUGUAAUGUGAAAAAAAUGAUUCUAGUAUUAAAAUGCAUAUAUAUAUUUAUACAUCACAGUAGUACUGUAUUUGUUGCAUUGCCUUUCCUUCAUGCUUAUUAGUCAAUAUCAUUCUAUCACCGUUGAGAAUGAUGGGAAUUACAAGAAAGCUGCGCUUAAUUGUCAUGACAGUAAUGCAAAUAAUGCAGUAAUUGCAUUGGUGGUCAAAAUAGGCUUCGUUUUUGUCAUGCAAAAUGUAAUUUCUAGAGUAUUAUACAACAACAACAACAGACCGAAAUUAGAAAGUAUAUUUUGCAUCAAGAAAAUAAAGCCUACUUUUGGACCAUUAUCAUUAUUAUUAUUUUAGGCAUUGAGGCUGUAUUUAAAUGACAAAUAAACACAUUCCCUCUCUCUAAAUUCUCAAAGUUGUAAUGCAAAAAAAAUUAUUAUAACAUCAAAGUACAGAAAUGCUCAAAAUUAUAGGGAAAAUAUGCUUAAUUAUCAUGCAAAUAAAAUAUUUUGUUGAAACAGGCUUCAUUUUUCUCAUGCAAAAUAUAAGUUGAUAUUCUUUUGAUUUCAGAGGUGGAUAUGUUAUACUUGAGAUUCGCCCAGAUAUUACUUUGAUUACAGUAUAAUGCCUGACAACAAUAUCCUUAACAAUUUUAGAUUCAGAGGUCUAAUUAUAAGAGAGAGAAAAAAAGUUGUUUUUAAAUCAUAACACUUAUCUUUUUCUUCUUUUAUUGAGCCAACUUUUUGUUUUCCUAUUUAAAUGUCUUGUUUUUUUCUUUUAAUAUAUUGGAAAUAUAUAUGGGAAAUAUUUAAUGGUGUAUUUAUUGAGGGAGUGCUUACGCGGCUGGGGUCUCCGCAGAGUUUGGGGGUCGAACAGCCUCGACAUCCUCUCUCACACACACACAAGCACAACCACAGGGUGGGCUGAAGUGUUCGAUGACGUCACUUCCUCCCUGACCAUUGACUAGUUCGAGGUCGUCCACCUCUCCAGCCAAGAGGCUCGUCGCAUCUCAUCUCUUUACGGGACGGAGAACCACACUGACUUUAUUCCAAAAAGAAGAUAAAAAGCUGAUUGUUUUCAUCCAGAGCUGCUAGACUCUUAGCCAUACACUUUUUUUUAUUUUUAUUUUUUCUCUGAAAGGAUGUGUCCGGUGCUUUACAAAUGGAGUCGAGAAGCAGAUCAUGGUGUUCGUCAUUUGCUUGAGUUCAAUUGUCUUCGUGCCAGAGAGGGUCCCAUUCCACUCAGAUAUAUAUAAAUAUAUGAGCCUCAGCCUUGACUGUACUCUUGUUUUUCUGAUUGGACUUGAGACGUCUGUCAAAAGGCCUUCAUCGUGUGUAGAGAAGCAUACUAACUCACUCCCUGUGUGGCAUCUCGGUUCUCUUUUAAACCACUAAUUGUCGUGAAACGGCUCGAGAUUCGGAGACGAGGCCGCUGUCUGUAUUUCAAACGGUCAUGCCGUCGUUUUCCGGGAGGACGGAGGCAUCGAGCGCCGGACGAAGUUGCACCCAAAUCGCUGACCCGAGUCGAUUCCUAAAAAUGUUUACAAAACGGUUUACUGCAACGCAACGCUCCAGCAUUCCACAAACAGGACUGUGAAGCAUCCGAUGCAAACGCACGGCGAGUCUGUCCAUCCUCCGUUUGUGUGGCUCACGUCUGGCGUCUCUUGGUACCGGAGGACGGCGGUGGCUUCCGUCGCGCGAUCGUGGCUUACGAAAGAGUUAAAGCGAGUCGGGAUCUCCGUGUUCGCAAAGAGUCUCUCAUAAUGUACCAGGGGAUGUUUCCUUUCCUUUGAAAUGUCUUUCUUUGUUUAAUAAUCCUCUCUUUGUAGAUCAAUGGCCUUUUAGUGUUGCUUUGCUUCAGUUUGGAGUGUAUCUUUCACUAAUACUUGCAAUAAAAAGCUUUGCUUUUGAAACAGA